rnacentral:rRNA from 1 species
UACAGGAGGUCUCAAGCGUUUGUUCGGAUUCAUUGGGCGUAAAGGGCGCGUAGGCUGCGGGGCAAGUCGGGUGUGAAAUCUCAGAGCUCAACUCUGAAACUGCACUCGAUACUGCUUUGCUUGAGGACUGGAGAGGAGAUUGGAAAUUCACGGUGUAGCAGUGAAAUGCGUAGAUAUCGUGAGGAAGACCAGUGGCGAAGGCGGAUCUCUGGACAGUUCCUGACGCUGAGGCGCGAAGGCCCAGGGGAGCAAACGGG